AAGUAUAUUAGUACUUAGGCAAUACUGUGCUUCGGAACUUCGGCACUUCGGCACUUCGGCACUUGACACUUUGGAAAUUCGGUAAUUUUGCAACUUCGGGACCUCGGCAAUUCAACACUUCGGCAAUUCGGACAUUCGGAAGUACCCGAAUAUCCGAAUUGCCCGAAAUUCGUCUGAAUUCAUAUUCGGAUCGAAACGAAUUGCACAUGUCUAAUACAGGGGGACCACAAGAUAUUCGAGUGUCAGGAGGGUUUGUUUCGUAUCUUGAACAUAGGAAUCUAAAUUACUCACAAAUGGGUGAAGAAGUUUUUCUAAGAACUUACUGGCUUUUUCAGACAGAGAGUUAUUGCCAGAAAUUAUUGGUCUCCCUGGGGGGUUGUCAAGGACUUUUGGAAGACAAUAGAAAGUGGGG